rnacentral:rRNA from 1 species
GGGUGCGAUCAUACCAACACUAAUGCACCGGAUCCUAUUAGAACUCCGAAGUUAAGCGCUUGAGCGAGAAUAGUUCUAAGAUGGGCUUGUUUUAUGACUUUCACACACA